rnacentral:lncRNA from 1 species
GAUGGGACACCUGGCAAGGGUCUGCAGAACAACGCCACGUUCGGUGCACUCUCUUGAAGAGAGCACUGGCUUAGAAGACUCCGGUGACUGGGACGAUAAAAGUGGUCUUUAGGUUCCCCUGUACCCAUCGAUGGUGCACGAGAGACGUCUGACGCCGAGCAAGUCGAUGAGCAGGCAGACGAUGCCAACAAA